AAAGACUUAAAGAAUAACCCUGCAAACAAUUAUACCACACUUACAGUUUGAUCUUCUUCUUUUAGCCAGCCAAUCAGAAAGCAGCACUACUCAAAUAGAACUCCCGUGAGGUCACACAUGUGAUGUCAUAACCUUUGUCAUCAGUGAGGGGCCUAAACUGUAGGAACCUAGGAAUACACAUUCAUACCCGCCUGUGACUGAUGCACACUUUCCAGGCUGUGGGGCAGCACAUACACGGACACAUUGGCCCAAAUUCUAGAGGUAACCUCCUUUAGUAUGCCCAGAGGAAGGGCAGUACAGUAGCCAUGGAUUCCCUACAGGUUUCCUCCCCUCUGGAGGUUUUUCCUGUCCUGAGUUAGUUACUGUCCGCUCUUUGUGAGUGAUGGAGGUUACAUAAAAUCCCUACACAAACAUUUUACUAAAUAAUUAAUAAAGUUCCCCUUUGUUUAAACUGUU